UCGGACGGGUGAGUAACGCGUGAGAAUCUGCCUCGAGGAGGGGGAUAACAGCGGGAAACUGCUGCUAAUACCCCAUAUGCCGAAAGGUGAAAAGAAAUUUGCCUUGAGAGGGGCUCGCGUCCGAUUAGCUAGUUGGUGAGGUAAGAGCUUACCAAGGCGACGAUCGGUAGCUGGUCUGAGAGGAUGAGCAGCCACACUGGGACUGAGACACGGCCCAGACUCCUACGGGAGGCAGCAGUGGGGAAUUUUCCGCAAUGGGCGAAAGCCUGACGGAGCAACGCCGCGUGGGGGAAGAAGGCCUUUGGGUUGUAAACUCCUUUUCUCAGGGAAGAAGCACUGACGGUACCUGAGGAAUCAGCCUCGGCUAACUCCGUGCCAGCAGCCGCGGUAAUACGGAGGAGGCAAGCGUUAUCCGGAAUUAUUGGGCGUAAAGCGUUCGUAGGCGGCAUUUCAAGUCUGCUGUCAAAGGCCGAGGCUCAACUUCGGAAAGGCAGUGGAAACUGAAAAGCUAGAGGUCGGUAGGGGCAGAGGGAAUUCCCAGUGUAGCGGUGAAAUGCGUAGAUAUUGGGAAGAACACCGGUGGCGAAAGCGCUCUGCUGGCCGA
rnacentral:rRNA from 1 species